AGAAUCAACGCUGGCGGCGUGCCUAACACAUGCAAGUCGAACGAGAAAGUGGAGCAAUCCAUGAGUACAGUGGCGUACGGGUGAGUAACACGUGACUAACCUACCCUCGAGUGGGGAAUAACCUCGGGAAACCGGGGCUAACACCGCAUAACAUCUACGGAUCAAAUGCGUAAGCAGCUUGAGGAGGGGGUCGCGGCUGAUUAGCUAGUUGGCGGGGUAAUGGCCCACCAAGGCAGUGAUCAGUAGCCGGCCUGAGAGGGCGCACGGCCACACUGGAACUGAAACACGGUCCAGACUCCUACGGGAGGCAGCAGUGGGAAUUUUGCGCAAUGGGGGAAACCCUGACGCAGCAACGCCGCGUGGAGGAUUAAGCCCCUUGGGGUGUAAACUCCUUUCGAUCGGGACGAUUAGUGACGGUACCGGAAGAAGAAGCACCGGCUAACUCUGUGCCAGCAGCCGC
rnacentral:rRNA from 1 species